GGUUUGUGCCGGUGGAAUGAGGCAGGUGCACACCUCAUUCCACACAGGCGUGCAGAAGGCACGGGCUGCAGGAAGACAGACCUGUUUCCUCGCUGGGUUGAAGGCGGCUGGUAGUCGGUAGGGAAGUUUAUCACCGACGUACCAGAGCAUCAGUGGUCCAUACGCUGCUCUUGCCGGGAAUCAUUUGUUUUGGUUCGUUUUGUUUCUUUCGGCUUUUUUUCCUGUGUCUAGUCCGCCCUGGCAAGUGAGCCGGUACGGGGCAAAAAAAGAGAUGGCUGUUGCCCGUCGGGCGGACUAGUUUCUUUUCUUUUCUUUUCUUUCUUUAUGUUUGUUUGUCUUUUUCUUGUCAGCUGCUUCCCCCUCAUCACCAGUACCCAGCUUACUCCCGGUCAGGCUGCCAGAGAGGGCCUAAGGUGUGCAAAGUGUGCAGCGAGUACAUUCACGCGUGUAAAUUGUGAGUGAGAACUCUUGGAGUGCAAAUUCAUAGUGUGCAGUGUGCUGUGAAAAGAUUCACGUGUGUAAACUGUGUUAACUCUUUCGAGUGCAGACCUAAGGAUUGCAGUGCAUUGGUGUUAUUGGAAACUUAUCCCCCCCCCUUUCUGUUAGCAUAAUUGGGAGUAAAGCUGGGACGCGGGUAAUGUGAGA